UACUCUUGGCCAGCCUUCUGAAAGGAAGAUUAAUCCAGGAUGGGAUCAUGAGUUCACAUGUCCGCAUGAUUAAAGGUAUUUUCCGGUAGACGAUGGGGGUGCGUUCCAUUAGAUAGUAGGCGGGGUAACGGCCCACCUAGUCAACGAUGGAUAGGGGUUCUGAGAGGAAGGUCCCCCACAUUGGAACUGAGACACGGUCCAAACUCCUACGGGAGGCAGCAGUGAGGAAUAUUGGUCAAUGGGCGAUGGCCUGAACCAGCCAAGUAGCGUGAAGGAUGACUGCCCUAUGGGUUGUAAACUUCUUUUAUAAAGGAAUAAAGUCGGGUAUGCAUACCCGUUUGCAUGUACUUUAUGAAUAAGGAUCGGCUAACUCCGUGCCAGCAGCCGCGGUAAUACGGAGGAUCCGAGCGUUAUCCGGAUUUAUUGGGUUUAAAGGGAGCGUAGAUGGAUGUUUAAGUCAGUUGUGAAGUUUGCGGCUCAACCGUAAAUUGCAGUUGAUACUGGAUGUCUUGAGUGCAGUUGAGGCAGGCGGAAUUCGUGGUGUAGCGGUGAAUGCUCAGCUAUCACGAGAACUCCGAUUGCG
rnacentral:rRNA from 1 species